GGGAUCCACCCUCGGUCUAUAUCCGAGGAAGUUACAGCGGAUCACGUCUCCCAUCACCAACCCUCUGGAUCCUGAUUAUCCUCGUCGCCGCCCUCUUGGAUCCCAGUCUCCUCCCACGCCCUGCACCCGCCCUCUCCAGCCAAGCCCUGCACCUGCCCUAGCCCCCACCAUCAACGGCCACGGCACCGGCGGCAUUGCAGGGGCUGAGGUAGGGGUCAUUUUUGCUGUUGUUGCCGUGCGUGGCCGCCGCUGGGUGACCCUCCUGCGACGACGACGACAGAGACACGCAGUUGCUGCCCCACUGCUACAGGUCCUCGAGCUACCGGGGGAGGAAGGUGCGCCAUACCUAGUCCGAGUCAGCGGCGACGCGGAAGACCAGGGACACAACAUCGCAGCGCCAAGCGUCGCGCGGGAGGCCCAUGCCGAGGUUUCGUGCAGAUAAAAAGCCAUAUGCAUUCUGAUGCCUCUCGACUCCUGCUGCAGUCCGUGCCGAGGAGGUAUAGCUCGUCGACAACGAUGCUAAUCGCCGCAAAUAUGAGAUUUUGGCACCAGAGCAGUUAAACCAGUUGUAUCCCUCUGUGUUUUAAGUAAAACACAAUAUGUCACACAUGACAAUGUUAUAUAUGUGGAGAACGAGUCCCUAAAGAGGACGUUGACAUACACAUUUUAGAAGGCACAAAGACAUUCUAUUGGAACAUCUCUUGUGGAAGAAGAUAAACUUGAGGUUGCAACUUCCCUUAUUGAGAAGGCAAAGGCAAAGGGGGUUUCUCUUUUGCUUCCCAGUGAUAUUGUAGUAGCAAACAAGUUUGCAGCUGAUAUUGGGAGCAAGGUUAGCUUAUUUUACACAUACACACAUCAGAUUGGUACUUCGGAAUUCUUUCUCUUUUUUGUGAUAAAUUGUGAAAGCUAUUCAGUACUAAUUUUACAGCUUACAUGUGCAACAAGGUAGCAGCGAUAGAAGAUAUUUUUGUGUGUAACCACUAACCAUCAUUUUGGAAGCAACCAACAUCAUAACCAAGAUAACAUUGUCUUAAACUUUCAUUUUGGUUCCCCUUUGAAAUGUGUUUCCCAGAAACACCAUAUGAUCUCCAGACUAAACUCAAGAACAAAAUACAUUUGGAGAAAUUAGCAAUCUGUUAUAAUGAACACUGGAAACUGAAGCCAAAGUUUCUGUUAAAAGUGCACGAAAAAAUGAAGCCAAAGGAAGGAUUAGCAUUGGGAACUUGUUGCUUCCUCUGCCCCUAGACAUGUUUUCAAUGCAAAGAAACACACACUUAAAAUCAAAUAAUAGCAAAUAUAGCAUUAUAAUGCAUUAAAUUUUCUAAGUAUUUUUCCAUGUAUAAUAUAAUGAGCCUAUCAGUUGCAAAACAUCUGUCCCAAAAACAUGAAAAACCAACAUAAACAGUCGGGUUGUAUAUUAUUGAGUAUAAGGUGCAUUUUUUUGUAAAACCAAAGAAUCUUAACCAUGUGCAAUAUUAUGCAGAGACGAGCUAUUAAAACUGUAAAUUGUCUUACAGUUGCAAUCAUGUCGUAACAUUGUUCGUACAUUGUCUCUUAACAGUAAGUGCUACAUUUUGAUGCUAUGGGAUAUUCUUAACAGUAAGUGCUACAUGUUGAUGCUAUGGAGUCUCAUUAUCAAACUCCUUGGCAUCCCAUCCAGCAUCGUGAGGGCGGAUGUACUUAAUGUAGGCACCUACGCAUUCAAGGCCAUUCUGAAGUCUCACUUCAAACUGCUCCAAAAGGGAUCCGGCUGUUGCAGCCGCGUAGCUGACUGCCUCUACUGCAUGUGCUGCAUCAGGUCUUUCGGUUGAGGUUGCUUGGCGACUACCAUCAUUCUACACGCAUCACUUUUGUGGAAUUCGUGAUGGUCAGCUAAGCAUACCUGUGACGAAACGCGCCGAGUCCAGGAGCGCGUCGACGCAGGGGCUCGGGAAUGCGGUGUCGCCAUCGCGGAACCCUAGCGAGAUCGUCGGGAAGGUCCAAAGGCGAGCAUGUUUUUGUGUAACCUUUCUCCCCUUCCCCCCUUUGUCGGCCGGCCCUUCAGCGGCAAUAAGUGCCCACCGCCCACCAGGUAUGCCCAACGGCCACCUUCCCUGCUGUUCGAAACCGAGCUGCCAAACCCUAAUGAAAACCAUUUGUAUUCGGAUCUGAUCUAAUUACACCUGUUAUGCCUACUAACUGUCCAUCCACUUGGCUUUGUUUGGUUGAUAUCUUUUUGUUCUUGCAUAAUGGAUUAGUUCAUGGAUGGGGUCUCGAUUUUGCUCUGUGGAAAUGUGUGGUGGUACACACUUCACAACAUAGUUACAGCAUUGAAGAGAAUCGUGACUACAAUGAGUGGAACUGCACUAUCACUAUAGGUCUAUAGCAGUAGAGUUAUGAAGGAACUUUAUCAUUCACUGACUCAUAAUUGCUGCAUGUUUUGUAUAAUGAAUUUUUGGUUGAUGGAGCUCGGGUUGUGGGUAAUAGAUGCAUCCAGUCAGAUCGUGUUCACUUGGGGAAGGGUACAUGGAUUUUGUGCUGAACACAAACUUACAAAGGCACAUGUCUUAACUCUUAAUACAAGUUUUGCUUAAUGACUUCAUGUGAUUACCAAUGUUUAUAGCAAACUUUGGUGAAUAUUCACCUUUCGCAUAUCAAUUCUUAGUUUCAACAGAUUAGCAUGUUUCAUGGACAUGGAAUGGAGAAGAUCUACCCCCUCCUGAUACUAAAGCUAUUAGGGAUAUCUGUGUACUGCCUGGUGGGCAUGUUGUUAUUGCAUCACUAAGCAGUAAGUUCCCUUUUCAGGUCUAUAAAGAAAGUGUGCAAGUUCUAUUCUUCACUGUUUUUUUGCUACAUUUACUGAAAUAUGACCUUUGUUCAUAUGAUCUACUGGUAGUUCUUCGACCUUUCAAUUUCACAAAACUUGCAACUAUUUUUAUGCUCUGCAUCCUACCAAAAGUAUACAUUGUCUUUCUACUACUUAGACCUAGGUAUGAGCAAGUCUGUUGCAUUUCUAUUCUUUCUACUACUUAUACAUGCACUGCAUUAUGUAUUUAACUUUUAAGAAGAUCAAGCAGGUGCUUGGUAAUCAAAGCACCUUGCUCUUCCUUGUAACAAGGCAGCAAGGGCACAAGUUAUAUUCCAGACAUUAUCCGAUGUUAUAGUCAGGAUGUACUACCCCAUAGAUGGUUGUUUUUCAGUAUGCUGUUUGAUUUCCAAUGACUUCGCUAAACUUUUCUGUGCUUCAGUGGAGGUCGAACCAUCAUCUUCACUAAGACAAAGGAUUCUGCAUCAUAGCUUUCUGGUAAUACUGGUGUUGCUGUCAUGCUUUAUGAGCCCAGAUAUAAGCACAGUGUCAGCAGACUAGAAAGGGAGUCUAGGGUUAAAUUUGAGCAUAUCUCUGUGCCACAACCCACUGAUGUAGCACAAUCUGCUGGCAGUGAAGCUGCAGAUGCCAUUGCGAGUGUGUCAGAUAGUGUUAUUCCUAUCUUCAGGCAGCAAGCAGAGCAGUUGCUAAGCUCUUACAGUCUGUCUGCAGCUGACUUGCUUGCCAAAGCACUUGCGAAGGGUUACACAGACAUAAAGAAAAGAUCAUUGUUAUCUUCCUUGGAGGAUUACAGUACACUACAUCUUCAAACUGGCAGACCGAUGUGGUCACCUGGGUUUGCUAUAACAUUCUGGUGAUCGUGUUUCUUUAUCGUCGGGGUCAUAUUUGUUCCCAUUGGUGUUAUCUUCAGUUUGACGUCGGCAACGUGGUCAUGGUGACCGGCGGGAGGAACACCGGGCGUGUAGGAGUGAUCAAGAACUGGGAGAAGCACAAGAGCAUCUUCGAGGUCAUCGACGUGCUGCUUGGAGUUUUUUGCAUGCUAUGUCUAGUUUUCUCCUAUUUGUUGUACAGGAAAACAUAGAAUGGAAUUCAAAUUUGGUGGUCGCAAAAGUGUGGUGACUUAAAUUCAUAUAAAGUUAGGCUUAACAUUAGUGCAAACAGUUGUAUUUUAGUUUAAAUUUAGAGUACACUUAUGUAUGCCU